CAAUGGGCGCAAGCCUGAUGGAGCAACACCGCGUGAGUGAAGAAGGGUUUCGGCUCGUAAAGCUCUGUUGUUGGAGAAGAACGUACCUGAGAGUAACUGUUCAGGUAGUGACGGUAUCCAACCAGAAAGUCACGGCUAACUACGUGCCAGCAGCCGCGGUAAUACGUAGGUGGCAAGCGUUAUCCGGAUUUAUUGGGCGUAAAGCGAGCGCAGGCGGUUGCUUAGGUCUGAUGUGAAAGCCUUCGGCUUAACCGAAGAAGUGCAUCGGAAACCGGGCGACUUGAGUGCAGAAGAGGACAGUGGAACUCCAUGUGUAGCGGUGGAAUGCGUAGAUAUAUGGAAGAACACCAGUGGCGAAGGCGGCUGUCUGGUCUGCAACUGACGCUGAGGCUCGAAAGCAUGGGUAGCGAACAGGAUUAGAUACCCUGGUAGUCCAUGCCGUAAACGAUGAGUGCUAGGUGUUGGAGGGUUUCCGCCCUUCAGUGCCGGAGCUAACGCAUUAAGCACUCCGCCUGGGGAGUACGACCGCAAGGUUGAAACUCAAAGGAAUUGACGGGGGCCCGCACAAGCGGUGGAGCAUGUGGUUUAAUUCGAAGCUACGCGAAGAACCUUACCAGGUCUUGACAUCUUGCGCUAACCUUAGAGAUAAGGCGUUCCCUUCGGGGACGCAAUGACAGGUGGUGCAUGGUCGUCGUCAGCUCGUGUCGUGAGAUGUUGGGUUAAGUCCCGCAACGAGCGCAACCCUUGUUACUAGUUGCCAGCAUUAAGUUGGGCACUCUAGUGAGACUGCCGGUGACAAACCGGAGGAAGGUGGGGACGACGUCAGAUCAUCAUGCCCCUUAUGACCUGGGCUACACACGUGCUACAAUGGACGGUACAACGAGUCGCAAGCUCGCGAGAGUAAGCUAAUCUCUUAAAGCCGUUCUCAGUUCGGACUGUAGGCUGCAACUCGCCUACACGAAGUCGGAAUCGCUAGUAAUCGCGGAUCAGCAUGCCGCGGUGAAUACGUUCCCGGGCCU
rnacentral:rRNA from 1 species